rnacentral:rRNA from 1 species
AGAUUGAACGCUGGCGGCAUGCCUUACACAUGCAAGUCGAACGGUAGAGUAGCAAUACUUGAGAGUGGCGAACGGGUGAGUAAUAUAUCGGAACGUGCCCAGUCGUGGGGGAUAACGUAGAGAAAUUUACGCUAAUACCGCAUACGAUCUAAGGAUGAAAGCGGGGGACUCGCAAGAGCCUCGCGCGAUUGGAGCGGCUGAUAUCAGUAUUAGGUUGUUGGUAGAGGUAAAGCUCACCAAGCCGACGAUCUGUAGCUUAGGUUGAGAGAACGACCAGCCACGACGUGGGACUGGAGACCACGGCCCAGACCUCCGUACGGGAGCCAGCGAGGUGGGUAAGUUUU